rnacentral:rRNA from 1 species
GACGGGGGAUGCGAGCGUUAUCCGGAAUGAUUGGGCGUAAAGGGUCCGCAGGUGGCCCGGUCAGUCCGCUGUCAAAGCCUGGGGCUCAACCCUGGAGAGGCGGCGGAGACCACCGGGCUUGAGUCCGGUAGGGGCAGAGGGAAUUCCCGGUGGAGCGGUGAAAUGCGUAGAGAUCGGCAGGAACACCCAGGGGGAAACCAGUGGACUGGGCAUGUGCUGACGCUCAGGUGCGAAAGCGUGGGGAGCGAACCGG